AUUCAGAGGCUUUUUUGGACCAAACUUGGCAGUUGAAUAAGGGUUUUCCUAGUCGUUCAUUCACGUCGUUAUGUGCUUCGCAUAUCCAUUCACACAAUGAUUCUCGACUAUCUACUCGAGGAGAAUUUCCAUAUUUAGCCAUCCAAAUACGUAAAUCUUCUGCACAAGACCAACAAGGAUAAAAUUUUGAAAAAUUGUACAGAAAACUGGACAUAUCAUUUUGUUGAGUGGGUGUUGGAUUUUUUGGAAAAUUGGCGGCCAUUGCAUGUAAGAACGUCCAAGUACUCCUUCCAAGUUCAGCGACAUCUGGAAGCCUGGGAAACGAUACGCUAUCUGGGAUUGCAUUGGUAUUGCAAUCUAUAGAUGAUUGUUUGCUUUCAAGCUGGGUAUUUGACUUUACUUCAGGGACAGUGCUACUAUUAGGUUGUUGAGCAACAUUUCGAAAGGAAGAAAAUAUGUUACAUGUUUUACAAGGUCUCCCGUUUUCGUCGUAAAUAAUUCCUGUCUCCUUAUCGCGAUAUCUUUUUCCAAAAACCAUUUUAACUUGAUUGAGAAAUAAGGAACGGACAAUACCAAAUUUUUACCUACAAAUGAUUCUGUCAGUAGCAUUCGACAGCCAAAUAUGUAUGAUGCUCAAUUUACAAGUUAAAUUCAUCUACUUUUAACCAAAUAAUUAUAUAACGUAGUACUUCAGCGCCGUUGAUUACUAACAAAGGCAUUUGAAAACACCACUGUUAAAUAUGGAACUGUUGCGAAUUUCGCUGUUUUUCUUGUCCAAAGGCUUAUGGCUUAAAAUCGUAUUUAUUAAA